GACGAACGCUGGCGGCGUGCUUAACACAUGCAAGUCGAACGGAAAGGCCCUGCUUUGGUGGGGUGCUCUAGUGGCGAACGGGUGAGUAACACGUGAGUAACCUGCCCUUGACUUUGGGAUAACUUCAUGAAACUGGGUCUAAUACCGGAUAGGAGCUCCUGCUGCAUGGUGGGGGUUGGAAAGUUUCGGCGGUUGGUGAUGGACUCGCGCCUUAUCAGCUUGUUGGUGGGGUAGUGUCUUACCAAGGCUUUGACGGGUAGCCGGCCUGAGCGGGUGACCGGCCACACUGGGACUGAGAUACGGCACAGACUCCUCCGGGAGGCAGCAGUGCGGAAUAUUGCACUAUGGGCGGAAGCCUGAUGCAGCCACGCCGCGUGCGGGAUGACGGCAAUCGGGUUGUAUACCGAUUUCGCCUGUGACGAAGCGUGAGUGACGGUAAUGGGUAAAGAAGCACCGGCUAACUCCGUG
rnacentral:rRNA from 1 species